rnacentral:precursor_RNA from 1 species
CGCGUGCGCGUCGGGUCCCCACAGGGAAGCCUUCCUGAGGGACCGCUCGCAGACUGAGCA